GUCUUCCGUAGCAUUUCUAGAAAAAAAAAAAAAAAACAUUUGAAAUAAUCUCUCUCUUCACAUUCUUUAUAAAAUUAUUUCUUUUCCAUUUAAUUUACUUUCAAUUAUUUCUCAAAAUUUUCUUCUCCAAAAAUACUUAUUUCCAAUACCACACAACUGAUUUUUUCAGGGAGAGUAAGCACUUUAGCAAGAGAUGGCUGAUGCUGUUGUCGAAUAUCUCUUGUUAAAUUUGAAACAGCUACUCCUUUAUCAUGUGGAUUUGCUUUCAGGAGUAAAGGAUCAAGUUGAAUCUCUUCAUAGAGAGCUUAGUUUGAUGAAAGCUUUUCUUAAAGACUCUCGGGAGAAGCGCAGUGAGUAUGAAUAUGUUAAGAGAGUUGGUAAGCCAAAUCACAGUUGUGGCUUAUGAGGCGGAGGAUAUAAUUGACACGUUCGUGACUAAUGCAGCGAUGCAAAAGGCUAGGAGCACUGUCAGGAGAGCCUUUCACGUAUUUGAUCACUCGUCCAUGCUUCGGAAUGUGGCAAAGGAAAUUGAAUCAAUCAAGGUGAAGGUGAAGGAGAUUUAUGAUAAGAAGAUGUUUGGGAUUCAAAAUCUACAUGAUGGAGAAUCUUCUCGCAGAAGUCCUCCGCUAAAAAGAGUUCCUAUAGUGGAAGAGGAAAAUGUGGUGGGCUUUGAUGAAGAGGCUAAGACAAUGAGGAGUCUACUUACCAAUGGGUCAGAGGAGUUACAGAUCAUCUCAAUUGUCGGGAUGGGUGGCCUGGGCAAGACGACUUUAGCUAAAAAAGUUUACACUGAUCCUUCCAUUGAAUACCACUUCUAUAACCGUGCAUAGAUUUAUGUGUCUCAGCAGUAUAGUCGAAAGGAGGUCUUUCUUGGAAUUUUAGAUUCUUUAAGUCUCAUCACAGAUGAAAUGUAUAAAAUGAAUGAUGAAAAAUUGUCCAUAGAGCUGUCUAGUCAUUUGUGAAGCAAAAGAUACCUUGUUGUCAUUGAUGAUGUUUGGACAAUGGAGGCUUGGGAUGACCUCAAAAUGGCUUUCCCAAAUACAGCUAGUGGGAGCAGAAUAUUGUUAACCACUCGAAACCGAGAUGUUGCAUCGUACGCUAAUCCUGAAGGUUCUCCUCACCAUUUACGCUUUCUAACUAAUGAAGAAAGUUGGGAACUCCUGUCAAAGAAGGUCUUCCGCAAAGGAAGCUGCCCCUUAGAGCUAGAAGAUAUUGGACUUCAAAUUGCCAAAAAAUGCUAUGGGCUACCGCUUGCAAUUGUUGUAGUCUCAGGUCUUCUCUUAAAGAAAGAAAAAACACAUGACUGGUGGAAGAAAGUUGCUAAUGAUGUUAGUUCGUAUGUUGCUAGGGAUCCAAAGCAAUGCAUGGAUGUUCUAGCACUGAGUUAUAAGCAUUUACCUGAUCACUUGAAAGUGUGCUUCAUCUAUUUUGGAAUCUUUCCAGAAGACUUUGAAAUUCCUGUGUGGAAAUUACUCAGAUUAUGGACUGGUGAAGGAUUCAUACAGCAAAUGGGGUAAGAAUGCUUGGAGGAUACUGCAGAAGAAUAUCUUGAGGAUCUCGUUGAUAGAAAUUUAGUUUUAGUUGCGAAGAAGAGGGCCAAUGGGCGAAUCAAGACUUGUCGCAUUCAUGAUAUAUUGAGAGAUUUGAGUGUGAAAAUGGGUUCAGAGGAGAAAUUCUUGGAGGUGAUCAAAGGAUCUUCUCAGAGUCAUUCUUCUUUGAGCUUGAUUUCCAAAUAUCAUCGUCGCCUUUGCGUGCAUUCACAUUUUCUGGACUUCAUGACCUCAAGUCCUUCUGGUCCAAGUGUCCGUUCUUUCUUGGUUUUUGCCUCUGAAGAAAUGGAAUUGCCUCGUGAACAUACAUCUUUCCUUCAUGAAGCAUUUAGAUUGGUACGGGUGUUGGACUUGAAGUAUAUCAAUUUUCCGAAGUUUCCAAAUGAGAUAGUGCAGCUAGUUCACUUGAGAUAUAUAGCUCUUUCUGGAAAUUUCAGGGUGCUUCCUGCAUCAAUCUCCAAACUUUGGAACCUUGAGACACUAAUUGUCGGAACAAAGGCACGUGAGCUUGACAUUCUAGUGGAUAUAUGGAAGAUGUCCCAAUUCAAACACUUGUACACUAGUGGGUUGAGCUGUUUACGUGGUCCUCCAGCCAAAACACGGAAGGAUAACGAGGACCCAUUUGUAAGAAGAAACAUCCAAACCAUUUCCACUGUUUUGCCUGAUUGUUGUAAAGAAAAUAUAUUGGCACGAACUCCUGGUCUAAGGAAGCUAGGAAUUCGUGGGAAGUUAGCCACACUUGUGGCUACGAAUGGAGACUCAAGCUUGUUUGAUAAUCUUGCCAAAUUGGACAACCUGGAGACUCUGAAGCUGCUUAAUGACACAUUUCCCAUUCACCCAUCCCAAUGUCAAAUACCCGGUCUUCCCCAAUCAUACAAGUUCCCGUCGAACUUGAAGAAGCUGACGUUAUCAGACAGCUUCCUUGAUUGGAGCCAUAUAUCUACACUAGGUAUGCUGCCAAAUCUUGAAGUGCUGAAACUAAAAGACUAUGCUUUUAAGGGAACACAGUGGGAACCGCUUGAUGGAGGCUUCCGUCUGCUUCGGGUUUUGCAUAUUGGAAGGACGAAUUUGGAACACUGGAAUGCUUCAGUCCAUCACUUCCCUAGACUGCAACAAGUUUUCCUUAAGCACUGCUCAUGCCUAAAUGAAAUCCCAUUUGGUUUAGUGGAGGUGCCUUCACUCCAGAAUAUGGAGCUCUUUUGGCCCACUCCAGCUGCUGCAGCAUCUGCCAGGACUAUUCAGCAGAAGAAACAAGGAGAUAUCAAGGACAAUGUGUUCAAGCUUGUCAUCUAUCCUCCAGAUAUUUAGUCACGAAAUCGUGCCGACUUCUGAAGUUGCUGGCAAGAAGGAGAAAUUGAUAUAAACAGAGAGAGAGAGAGAGAGCGCUCUUAAAACUUAAAUGUCAUCAGUAAAAGGUAAGCAGGACCUUGCAGUGGCGGAGAUAGGAUUUUCACCAAGGGGGGUUCAUCGUCUGCUAACAAAUAUUCUGGCCUUGUAUGUACGGUGCACUUUGCUGAUAAAGGGGGUUCGGAUGGAUCCCUUCCACACCUCUAGCUUUGCCCUGAAGAUAGGGCUGGACAUCCUCGUAAACGUGCUAGUCAUUGCCUUUUUUCACAUUUCUAUAUACUUUGUAUUCUCACUAUGUCCUAUUUACGACAAGGUGCAAAACGAAAAAAGAUAAGAGGAAGAAAAUAGUAAAGCAUCAAUAAAUAUAUAGGGACACUGCUGGUGGACCUCUUUACCAUAUAUGUACAAGUUGAAGAUUAUUUUCUUUCCUCACUUUGAUAUAAAGGUUUAUUUGUUCUUAUUCCUAAA